rnacentral:rRNA from 1 species
UUAAGCGACUAAGCGUACACGGUGGAUGCCCUGGCAGUCAGAGGCGAUGAAGGACGUGCUAAUCUGCGAUAAGCGUCGGUAAGGUGAUAUGAACCGUUAUAACCGGCGAUUUCCGAAUGGGGAAACCCAGUGUGUUUCGACACACUAUCAUUAACUGAAUCCAUAGGUUAAUGAGGCGAACCGGGGGAACUGAAACAUCUAAGUACCCCGAGGAAAAGAAAUCAACCGAGAUUCCCCCAGUAGCGGCGAGCGAACGGGGAGCAGCCCAGAGCCUGAAUCAGUGUGUGUGUUAGUGGAAGCGUCUGGAAAGGCGUGCGAUACAGGGUGACAGCCCCGUACACAAAAAUGCACAUAUUGUGAGCUCGAUGAGUAGGGCGGGACACGUGGUAUCCUGUCUGAAUAUGGGGGGACCAUCCUCCAAGGCUAAAUACUCCUGACUGACCGAUAGUGAACCAGUACCGUGAGGGAAAGGCGAAAAGAACCCCGGCGAGGGGAGUGAAAAAGAACCUGAAACCGUGUACGUACAAGCAGUGGGAGCACGCUUAGGCGUGUGACUGCGUACCUUUUGUAUAAUGGGUCAGCGACUUAUAUUCUGUAGCAAGGUUAACCGAAUAGGGGAGCCGAAGGGAAACCGAGUCUUAACUGGGCGUUAAGUUGCAGGGUAUAGACCCGAAACCCGGUGAUCUAGCCAUGGGCAGGUUGAAGGUUGGGUAACACUAACUGGAGGACCGAACCGACUAAUGUUGAAAAAUUAGCGGAUGACUUGUGGCUGGGGGUGAAAGGCCAAUCAAACCGGGAGAUAGCUGGUUCUCCCCGAAAGCUAUUUAGGUAGCGCCUCGUGAAUUCAUCUCCGGGGGUAGAGCACUGUUUCGGCAAGGGGGUCAUCCCGACUUACCAACCCGAUGCAAACUGCGAAUACCGGAGAAUGUUAUCACGGGAGACACACGGCGGGUGCUAACGUCCGUCGUGAAGAGGGAAACAACCCAGACCGCCAGCUAAGGUCCCAAAGUCAUGGUUAAGUGGGAAACGAUGUGGGAAGGCCCAGACAGCCAGGAUGUUGGCUUAGAAGCAGCCAUCAUUUAAAGAAAGCGUAAUAGCUCACUGGUCGAGUCGGCCUGCGCGGAAGAUGUAACGGGGCUAAACCAUGCACCGAAGCUGCGGCAGCGACGCUUAUGCGUUGUUGGGUAGGGGAGCGUUCUGUAAGCCUGUGAAGGUGUGCUGUGAGGCAUGCUGGAGGUAUCAGAAGUGCGAAUGCUGACAUAAGUAACGAUAAAGCGGGUGAAAAGCCCGCUCGCCGGAAGACCAAGGGUUCCUGUCCAACGUUAAUCGGGGCAGGGUGAGUCGACCCCUAAGGCGAGGCCGAAAGGCGUAGUCGAUGGGAAACAGGUUAAUAUUCCUGUACUUGGUGUUACUGCGAAGGGGGGACGGAGAAGGCUAUGUUGGCCGGGCGACGGUUGUCCCGGUUUAAGCGUGUAGGCUGGUUUUCCAGGCAAAUCCGGAAAAUCAAGGCUGAGGCGUGAUGACGAGGCACUACGGUGCUGAAGCAACAAAUGCCCUGCUUCCAGGAAAAGCCUCUAAGCAUCAGGUAACAUCAAAUCGUACCCCAAACCGACACAGGUGGUCAGGUAGAGAAUACCAAGGCGCUUGAGAGAACUCGGGUGAAGGAACUAGGCAAAAUGGUGCCGUAACUUCGGGAGAAGGCACGCUGAUAUGUAGGUGAAGUCCCUUGCGGAUGGAGCUGAAAUCAGUCGAAGAUACCAGCUGGCUGCAACUGUUUAUUAAAAACACAGCACUGUGCAAACACGAAAGUGGACGUAUACGGUGUGACGCCUGCCCGGUGCCGGAAGGUUAAUUGAUGGGGUCAGCGCAAGCGAAGCUCUUGAUCGAAGCCCCGGUAAACGGCGGCCGUAACUAUAACGGUCCUAAGGUAGCGAAAUUCCUUGUCGGGU